rnacentral:rRNA from 1 species
GACGAACGCUGGCGGCGUGCCUAACACAUGCAAGUCGAACGGAAAGGCCGUGCUUGCUGGGUCCUCGAUUGGCGAACGGGUGAGUAACACGUGGGUGAUCUGCCUUGCACUUCGGGAUAUGCCCGGGAACCGGGGACUAUUACCGGACAUGACCUUCCUCGCAGUUGGGGGGGCGGAAGGUUUUUUCGGUGUGGGAUGGGCUCGGGGCCUAUCAGCUUGUUGGUGGGGUAAUGGCCUAGCAAGGCGUCGACGGGCAGCCGGCCUGAGAGGGUGGACGGCCACAUUGGGACUGAGAUACGGCCCAGACUCCUACGGGAGGCAGCAGUGGGGAAGAUUGCACAAUGGGCGGAGGCCUGAUGCGACGACGCAGCGUGGGGGAUGACGGCCUUCGGGUUGUAAACCUCAUUCGACAGGGACGAAGCUUCGGUGACGGUACCUGUAUAAGAAGCACCGGCUAACUACGUG